AUGCUUUAUAAUUUGUGUUUCAUUACAGAAAGUGUAUGAAACCCAUGACCAAUAUAGUCACACAUUCUGUC